GGUAAAAUGGUCGAGUAGGCAUUAGACUGUAAAUCUAAAGACAGGGGUAAAGUCCCCUUUUUAUCA
rnacentral:tRNA from 1 species